rnacentral:rRNA from 1 species
AGUCGAGCGAUGAAGUUUCUUCGGAAAUGGAUUAGCGGCGAACGGGUGAGGAACACGUGAAGAAUCUGCCCUCCACUUUGGGAUAACACCGGGAAACCGGUGCUAAUACCGAAUAUUGAAACAUAAGUGGCAUCACUGAGUUUUGAAAGAAUUUCGGUGGAGGAUGACUUCGCGGCCUAUCAGCUAGUUGGUGAGGUAAUGGCUCACCAAGGCAACGACGGGUAGCCGGCCUGAGAGGGCGACCGGCCACACUGGGACUGAGACACGGCCCAGACUCCUACGGGAGGCAGCAGUGGGGAAUAUUGGGCAAUGGAGGAAACUCUGACCCAGCGACGCCGCGUGCGGGAUGAAGGCCUUCGGGUUGUAAACCGCUUUCAGUAGGGAAGAAGCGAAAGUGACGGUACCUACAAAAGAAGCACCGGCUAACUAUGUGCCAGCAGCCGCGGUAAUACAUAGGGUGCAAGCGUUGUCCGGAAUUAUUGGGCGUAAAGAGCUCGUAGGUCGUUUGUUACGUCGGAUGUGAAAACCUGAGGCUCAACCUCAGGCCUGCAUUCGAUACGGGCAAACUAGAGUUUGGUAGGGGAGACUGGAAUUCCUGGUGUAGCGGUGGAAUGCGCAGAUAUCAGGAGGAACACCAAUGGCGAAGGCAGGUCUCUGGGCCAAUACUGACACUGAGGAGCGAAAGUCUGGGGAGCGAACAGGAUUAGAUACCCUGGUAGUCCAGACCGUAAACGGUGGGCACUAGUUGUGGGAACCUUCCACGGUUUCUGCGACGCAGCUAACGCAUUAAGUGCCCCGCCUGGGGAGUACGAUCGCAAGAUUAAAACUCAA